UACGUAGGGGGCAAGCGUUGUCCGGAAUCAUUGGGCGUAAAGCGCGUGUAGGCGGCCCGGUAAGUCCGCUGUGAAAGUCGGGGGCUCAACCUUCGAAUGCCGGUGGAUACUGUCGGGCUAGAGUGCGGAAGAGGCGAGUGGAAUUUCUGGUGUAGCGGUGAAAUGCGCAGAUAUCAGGAGGAACACCAAUUGCGAAGGCAGCUCGCUGGGACGUGACUGACGCUGAGACGCGAAAGCGUGGGGAGCAAACAGG
rnacentral:rRNA from 1 species